rnacentral:rRNA from 1 species
UACAGAGGUCCCAAGCGUUGUUCGGAUUCACUGGGCGUAAAGGGUGCGCAGGUGGGUUGGCAAGUUCGAUGUGAAAGCCCCGGGCUUAACCCGGGAAUGGCAUUGAAUACUGCUGAUCUGGAGGAUCGGAGGGGGGACUGGAAUUCUUGGUGUAGCAGUGAAAUGCGUAGAUAUCAAGAGGAACACCAGUGGCGAAGGCGAGUCCCUGGACGAUACCUGACACUGAGGCACGAAAGCCAAGGGAGCAAACAGG